GCAAUGGAUCUUCUUCCCAUUCUUACUGCAUGAUGAUAUUUAUGCUCUUCAUCUUCUGUUAUGCGCUGCGCAACCAAACCAUAUUGGUUUCUACUUAUUCUUCUUUUAAUUUUUUAUGCUCCAACAGGAUAAUAGACAUCUCUCUUUAAUUUUAGUAAGCAUAAAUGAUUUGAUGUUCACAUGCUAUUUUUAGUUGUACAACCUACUAAUUAAUUAGAUAUUUGCUACUUACGAUUAUUUGAUGGAUUGAAUAGAACUUGUUGUGGACUUACCAUAUUGCGGUUCAUAUUUGACUUACGUGGCUUUAAUUGCAUAUUUGCCUUAUAUGGCUUGGAACGUAUAUUUGACCUACGCAUCUUUGAGCACAUGUCUGCCUUACAUGGCUUGGGUCGCAUAUUUGCCCUACACGGCUUGGGUCGCAUAUUUGCCUUCCCAACUUUGAUAGAAUAUUGGUGCCCUCUGUGGCUUUGUUAGUUGUAUUCGCAUAAUUGUUGAUUUUCGGGUCAUUAUGCAGAGUUCGUUAUGAUUUACGGGUAGAUCUGAAGUUCUUUUAUCGAUUUUCUUACCAUCUUGCGGAGUUCAUAUGUUUUCCGAAUGAUGCCGGAGUUCCUAUGUUGAUUCUCUCUUCAUCUAGCAAUGUUCAGUCGUAUUACGAUUUUCAGGUGGAGCUGAAGUUUGGUUAUCAAUUUUCUAGCCAUCUUGCGAUGUUCACAUACGAUAUGAUUUUUCGGUGAAGUAGAGGUCUGAAUGUUGAUUUUCUAGCCAUCAUGCAGUGUUUAGUCGUAUUGUAAUUUUCGGGUGGAGCUGAAGUUUGCUUAUCGAUAUUCUAGUCUUCUUGUGGUAUUCACGUACGAUAUGAUUUUCAGGUGGUUUAGAGAUUUGAAUGUUGAUUUUCUAUUCAUCUUGUUUUUCGAAUGACACCAAAGUUCCUAGGUUGAUUCUUUUCAUCUGGUGGUGUUCAGUCUUACUGUGAUUUCUGGAUGGAGCUAAAGUUCGUUUAUCAAUUUUCUAACAAUCUUGCAGUGUUCACAUACGAUAUGAUUUACGGGUGAAAUAAAGGUUUGAAUGUUGAUUUUCUAACCAUCUUGCAGUGUUCAGUCGUAUUAUGAUUUUCGGGUGGAGCUGAAGUCCACUUAUCAAUUUUUUAGCCAUCUUACGGUGUUUACAUAAGAUAUCAUUUUCAGGUGGUCUAUAGAUUUGAAUGUUGAUUUUUUAUUAAUCUUGUGGAGUUCAGUUGUAUUGUGAUUUUUGGAUCGUGGUAAAGUUCGCUUAUCAAUUUUCUAGCCAUCUUGGGAUGUUCACGUACGAUAUAAUUUUCGGGUGUAGAGUGAGUCGAUGUUGUUCACUUGGUUGCUGGAGUAGAACGGGUAGCUGAUGAGCUAGACGGGGUCUCUAUGGCCCCAUAUUGAGCUUCACCAUUAGAUGAUAGAUUUCUGUUUAUGUUUAAUCAACUUUUGUUAUUUGAGUUGUAUAAGUCCUAUACGGGCACUUCUACAUUUGAAUUCUUAUGGUGAUUGGAAUGUUUUUAUUCAAUGCAUGGUUUACUCUGCCAA